rnacentral:lncRNA from 1 species
GGAUGGUUGACUAGUGACAAUUCUACUCCGUUAGUGGAUGUGUUUACAGAAGCUAGUGGCGACAUGGUUGAUCUUCAUAUUUCCACUGUUUUCCAAGCCCUGCACUGUGAGGAAAAUUAUAUUCGAAUUCAGGUGUAUAUCACGCUCAUGUGGUUAUUCAAGAUAGCAAAUUAUAUUCUCCAACGAAGUAAUUAAAACUGGAAGCUAGAAAACGAAGAACCCUGACUAUAAGAUAUGUGUGAAAUGCAGGAUGACACGCUGACCGGAACACUUUCGUCCGUGGAUGUUGCCACGAAAGAGAAUUUGGAGAAUCUUGUGAAAGUGGGUGAGAAAUUGUUGAAAAAACCAGUAUCAAGGGUGGAUUUAGGCACUGGAGUCUUUACACCUGUUGAUAAGAUGACAAAUGAAGAGGCUCUCAUAAAGUAUAUAUCUGCUCAAGUCUAUAUAUUAUAGUGAUUUCUAUGGCAUCUUAUUUCAUCUUGCUGAUUUUUUUUUGUUUGACUGGAUAGGAUGGCUAAAUUACUGUCAAGGGAGAAGCAUCUUCGUUAUUCUAGGUCACCAGUUGGAAAAGUUGCUACUUCGAAGUGAAUAUGAUUCGUAAACUAGAUUGUCCAGAAAAUUAAUUAGGCGCAAAUUAAUAAAUUUGGAAGAAACAGCAGGGAGAUCAUCUGCAUUAUGUAAUUCUGCUGUUUUUCUUUUUUUUAUUGUUACAAGAAAUGAAUAAUAUGUAAUUCUUUCCGUCGUUAAAAAUGAAUCAUCGCAGAAUGCUGUUGCACUUUUAAAAAUAUUUUUGCUUGCUCAUCUUCUUAUAAUUUUGUUUACCUUUUGUUCUUCUUGCCUUGUGGUCUGACAACUCAACGUGUUUAUCGUUCUUCUAAACAUACAUACAUACAUCAAUACACACACACACACACACACAUGUAGUUUGUUCACGUUCUCUAAUAUUUAGCUGCUGAUCAUAGCCAAACGUACUUAUUCUUUCUGAUCUUGGAUAUGAUCAUAUCCAUUGAUUCUUACAUAGAAUCUUUAUCGAAAUUAGAUGGUUCACUUUGCUGUUUCCUAGUUUUUCCUUAACAAGACCAUGUAGAUAUUUUCCUCGUAUUUUUUCUGACAAUGCUUUGAUUACCUUUGUCACAUAAGGAAAUAAUGAGCAGCUACCCGAAAGAUAAAAGAAAACGACUAUCCAAAAGAUAAAAUAGCACAUAUUUCACCCAUAAAUUGUUUCUCCGAAUUGGAUAGCCAGCCAGAGAAACGAAUUUUACCUGGGUUGUGGAAAGAGCUUCGGACACUGAUUCAGGCAAAAAUCCUUGAUGUCUUUGGCAGCAUAUAUAGAAGUGAAAGAGAGACCCUGCAGGGAGAAAAUUAAAUUAUAUUGUUUUCUUGAGAAAAGGGAUAGAAAUAUAAGUAAGAAAGACUUGCAGGUGAGACUUCAC